rnacentral:rRNA from 1 species
AUGGACAUGGGGGCAAUUUUGAGAAGCGCCACUCGUCUUCUUGAGAUGGCCGGGGGCACCCACCCACAUCCUGAUGCUCUGGGACGCCUCCGACGGGUGCUGGGCGCCACUGCGGCACAUUGCAUCUCUAACCCCAUCUUCACCGAUUCUUUCAAACAGAUGUUGGACAACUUCGUUGGCAAUUUCAGCAAUGACACCAGGAAGGUGGACAAUCUCACCGCUCGCCUCCAGGCCACGCGCAGCCCUGAAGGCCACCAUAAAGGCCUCCGCCACGGUGUCUCCCCCACUGCCCAGCUCGCCGGCCUUCAUGGAAAUGAUCUAUUCCGUGCACUUAUGGCCCUGCAGCUGCCCGUGACCGCGCCUCCGGAAUUCUGCCUUGAGGCCACUCUCGCCGCGCAGAGCCUCAUCGUGCACGACCACCUCGACCUUUUCAUCCACCUCUGUGAGGAGGCCACCUUCAACGGCGACAGUACGGCGGUCAAUGAGUUCAACUUCAUGGUCUUCAUGGACCACAUAAAUACCUUGGAGAAGUUCAUGCAAGAGCACAUUGACCUCGCCGACGCCGCUGCCACUUCACGUGCAACCACUGGCCAAGCGAAGUAA